rnacentral:lncRNA from 1 species
CAAGGAUCCCUGGGAUGAUGGUCUUAUGAGAGCCGAGUGAACAAAGAAAACAGGUGAAUUCAAUUGCCCAGAAGUGCCUGUUCAUCAGAGGCACUUUCCUGCUUCUGCCCCUCCCAGCGCCAUUCAUAGGUCGGCAACCUGAGAGAUUCCCACAGACCUGAGACUCCAGGCUGAACGGGGGCUCAGCUACACCGGCCCUAAUGCCAUGGGCUGAACCCCACUUUCUCCCUGACUGUUGAGGAGAAGAAGAGGAAAUGCAUGAGGCCAGACUCAUUUGUUUUCUGAGCUGAUGUGCGGAGACACACCUGCAUGUGCGGUUUCCCAGAAAACCACGCCAAGUGUAGGCAGGAUCGGCACACGUUCCUCGAGGGAAUUCCAACGGGUCAAUUUUAUCUUGUUUCAAGAGAACCGCUUGAAGAUGCUGGACAGGCACGACUCUGUGAAAAAGAACUGAAGAAUUUGCCCAGAAAAUACAAGUAUUGCCAUCAGACUGUGGAAAACAGUACAGAUAUGCUGCUGCUGCGUCGCUUCAGUCGUGUCCGACUCUGUGCGACCCCACAGAUGACAGCCAACCAGGCUUCCCGUCCCUGGGAUUCUCCAGGCAAGAACACUGGAGCGGGUUGCCAUUAAUAUGAGAAGGUGUGAAAUAGACAAAAAAAAUAGACAAAAAGCAGUGUCACGUGUGACGCUGGCAUUUUGUGUGGGUGACAAGUGUCGGCUGCUACGGGACAGGGAAAGAGCACCCUAGACAAGCACUGGCAAGAUGAUCAGAGUCCAGAAUGAAUCGGUCUGGGAAGACAGAUAAAUGUAGAAACAAAAAAUCUCCAAAUGCACUGAAAUAGCAUGGAGCGAAAAGCCACAAUCUGAGGUGGUCUAGGUUGUACAGUAAAGAUCGGUUGCACGCAAAUUCAAUGCAACUGGGUUUCUGGUAAGAAUCAUCACUUUGGGGUGUGCCUGGUGGCUCAGUAGUAAGGAAUCUGCCUGUGAAGGCAGGAGACUUGGGUUCAAUCCCUGGUCUAGGAAGAUCCCACAUGCCACGGAGCAAUUAUGCCCGAGCACCACAACUGUUGAGCCUGUGCUCUAGAGCCCGCAAACCACAACUACUGAAGCCCAUGAACUUGGGCUCCACAGAGAGAGAAGCCACUGGAAUAAGAAGCCCGUGCACACAAUUACAGAGUAGCCCCUGGUUGCCACAAAUAGAGAAAAACAUGCCCAGCAACGAAGACCCAGCACAGCUAAAAAUAAAUAAAUAAAUAAAAUUACA